rnacentral:rRNA from 1 species
UACGUAGGGUGCGAGCGUUGUCCGGAAUUAUUGGGCGUAAAGAGCUUGUAGGCGGUUUGUCGCGUCUGCCGUGAAAAUCCGAGGCUCAACCUCGGACUUGCGGUGGGUACGGGCAGACUAGAGUGUGGUAGGGGAGACUGGAAUUCCUGGUGUAGCGGUGAAAUGCGCAGAUAUCAGGAGGAACACCGAUGGCGAAGGCAGGUCUCUGGGCCACUACUGAGCUGAGGCGCGAAAGCAUGGGGAGCGAACAGG